rnacentral:rRNA from 1 species
AACGUAGGAGGCGAGCGUUAUCCGGAUUCACUGGGCGUAAAGCGCAGGUAGGUGGUCCGUUAAGUAGGUCGUGAAAGCCCCCGGCUCAACUGGGGGAGGUCGACCUAAACUGGGGGACUGGAGGGUCCGAGAGGCCGGUGGAAUUCCCGGUGUAGCGGUGGAAUGCGUAGAGAUCGGGAGGAACACCAGUGGCGAAAGCGGCCGGCUGGCGGAACCCUGACACUGAGAAGCGAAAGCGUGGGGAG